rnacentral:rRNA from 1 species
GAUGAACGCUGGCGGCGUGCCUAAUACAUGCAAGUCGAGCGAACAGAUAAGGAGCUUGCUCCUUUGACGUUAGCGGCGGACGGGUGAGUAACACGUGGGUAACCUACCUAUAAGACUGGAAUAACUCCGGUAAACCGGGGCUAAUGCCGGAUAACAUUUAGAACCGCAUGGUUCUAAAGUGAAAGAUGGUUUUGCUAUCACUUAUAGAUGGACCCGCGCCGUAUUAGCUAGUUGGUAAGGUAACGGCUUACCAAGGCAACGAUACGUAGCCGACCUGAGAGGGUGAUCGGCCACACUGGAACUGAGACACGGUCCAGACUCCUACGGGAGGCAGCAGUAGGGAAUCUUCCGCAAUGGGCGAAAGCCUGACGGAGCAACGCCGCGUGAGUGAUGAAGGUCUUCGGAUCGUAAAACUCUGUUAUUAGGGAAGAACAAAUGUGUAAGUAACUGUGCACGUCUUGACGGUACCUAAUCAGAAAGCCACGGCUAACUACGUG